UGACUAGAACCGUGACUCAGC
rnacentral:miRNA from 1 species